rnacentral:rRNA from 1 species
AUCUACGGCCAUGCUAUGCUGAACAAGCCUGAUCCUGUCUGAUCUCGGAAGCUAAGCAGGGACAGGUCUGGUUAGUACUUGGAUGGGAGACCACCUAGGAAGACCUGGUGCUGUAGGUG